AAUUAAUGAAACAAAUCCAUCCAACGAACAACAAUGUUGCGCAGUAAAUUUGAAUAAUAUUCUAUUUCACUAAACGAAAAAGCAAAAUUUAGAAAAAUUACACUUUUACUGUCCUCGCAUUGCUGUGUCACAUUUUACGGCAUUGAUCGCAGGACUAAUAUAGAGUCCUAUAAAAAUAACAUCAUCUACACUCAACGCUAUACCAAUAAUCCAACCUGCACGCCAUCGCUCCAGAAAAGUCGCGCAAUAUCUUGUGACAACUGACAUCUAGUGCAUUAUUUCACGAACGAAACCCAUUAUCCUCUGCCCUGUACUAUUUUAUGUCGAACUUAUUUGGCUAAAAGCCACUCAAUUUUUCGAUAAAGUACAACAUGUAGGCUAUUUAUUAGUCUUUUUAAUAGUAGCCGCCUAUUUAAAAAAAUAAGUUCGUAAACUUCGGUCAGAACGGAGUACGGUAGGUUAUUGGGGAUUCCUGCCGUUUAGGCGGGUUCGAGUGGUGCGAGUUUUGGGUUUAGUCGUUUUAGAGCAAGCCUUCCCCUAGCCUCACUGUAAUUCUCCUCCAACGAAAUACCCGUAAACUAAAGAAAACAUCGAGCAUCACGAUUCAGACAAAGAUGUCUCUCGUGUGUUACAACUGCCAGGCGGAGAUUGACCAGAAUAGUAAAAAUCGUCAGAGUUUCCUCAGCCGAACGAACACUUUUAGCACGUCGGGAGAGUCGGAAGAGCCAUCUUUCAGCGACAACGGUGAAGGAACUGAUCUCGUCACCAAGAUUCCAGAGGUAGUCAUCAACACCAAUGGUAAGGGAUGUGGAGUUUCCUCAAUGGAGUUUCCCCGGAAAAUGGGAGAAAGCCACAACAGUCCCGCAUCUGAAAUUUGGCGAAAGUUCGUCCAGACCACCACAGGUCAUGGUUUCGCCAGAAUGGUCGACACCAACGAACAUUGGCAUUUGAGAGCCUUUUGGAUGAUAGUUGUCGUCCUGCUGGGCGCUGGACUGUUGACCUCCGUCUCUAUGAUCAGCUACGAAUCUUUAGUGGUGCGAGGAUUGCAACGCGAGUUUAUCGUUCAAUAUAACAACACCAUGAACCUUCCCGACAUCCACAUAUGCGAUACAUCCCUCUUCAGUCUUUCGGCACUCGAAUCCAUGGGCUUCAACAAGACCAUGGGUAGCUAUUUGGCGUUGACACUCUCCCCAAUGUUGGCUUCCCGUUCGCUGAGAAAAGACAAAAAGAAACGACAGCAACUGGAAAGCCUUUACCGUCGCUUAAUGGCCAACAAAACAAUUCACGAAGUCUACGAGAAAGCUACCCUCAAGUAUGAAAAGCCUUGAUAUCGGUGCAGAGAGUGAAAAAUUAAUUAUGUCAAGCCAAACAUUUUCAGAUGCGAAAAUAUCAUCCUGGGAUGCACUCAUGAUGUAACCUCUUACAACAGCGUUCAGUGUUGCCACAAAAUCUUUGGCAACCGAAUCUACGUCACCGACUUGGCUACGAUGUGCGUCUCCACCGCUAAGCAGCAGCCGCUGGAAGAGAUAUUUGCGUCGCAAGUUUACGGACUGACAGUUUAUCUCAAGACGAAUACUCGCGAUCGAUUCGGUAAUACACCCAGUUACCUAGGGAACGUCCUAAAAAUAAAAGACGCGACAAAUGUCUUUGUUGUACAUUUUCUCCGCCUGCUGAUGUAUUGUCUCUCUAUCCCUUGUCGAGAACACAGAGUUCGAUUCGACUAUCGUAAAUAGCAACGUUGCAUCCCGACGUGGCCUACUUUAUGCCGUGUCCGAUCCGAUUACGGCCGUCAAUCCCAUUAUUUCAGCAGCCGGUCACUAUAUGGCACCAGGUGAACCGGAACAAACUUAAGCGAUUUUCUACGUGACCUAUAUAUAUAUAAAUAAUAACGGAUGAAUCUAUUUGUCUCAAACUGUCUUACAGGAAAGUGGGCGGGUGUUUCCAUCUCGUUCACUCGGGUACGCUAUAGCACACUGAUGAUCAAAAAUUUCUUUGAAAAUUUGACAAAUCGUAUCUAUUUUUCUACAUUGUGUCGGGGAAUUUAUAUAGACAGAUAACUCGGAAUUGCAAACGGGAAUCUUAUCCCCUUACUCUUGCGUACCAUCUGGAGCCACUAGUCAUGCACACUUGGUGCCCGCCUAUGACGUCUACAGCGAGAGGAAUUGCAUUUUCGCCUCGGCUCGAAUUGUGUUGGAAAGGAAAUUCAACUGCACCAUUUUCCGUUUUCGUAGAACCCAUCACCACCACGGUAAGGCAUAGGCUAUACAAAAGGAGACAAUAAGCGUAAUGAACGACGACGACAUUCACUGACUGAUGCAAUUUAGAUACACCCUGUUGCGAUCCUGAUAUUAUGAUUGGAGCCUAUUCAGUUGCCCUGGCUCAGAAAAUUAAGAAGCAAUCAGCUGGUAAGAAAAAUAUAUGCUCUUGAUGGUAAAUGCCGCUAGUGCAAUUCACAAGACAGUUGAUGGGUACUUCUCGCGGUAAUUUGAGAACGACCCGGGAAAAUUUUAAAUGUCAGCAAAAUUUUAGAAGUUUCUAUACGAUUUCAGGUUGCCCGAUUGACUGCGUCGUGAACGAUUACCAUUUGUAUUCAACGCCAUCGCAGCUCUAUUUGGGCGAUCAGGACGAAUUUUUCGAAGGAGAAAAGCACGGAGACGAAAUUGUGCACAGUGCUAUUCAUUUCUUCUACCCGUCUUUCAGUUACACGGUGAUCAAGAAUCAUCCCCAACGUCUUCUCAAAUGGCUCGGUGACGUAGGCAGCAAUAUGAGUCUCUAUUUGGGGGCCAGUUUUGUAACUCUGUUGGAAUUUAUCGUUCUCAUCUUGCGCUGCGCUAAAAGGUGGGCGACGCAAAUUCAAUAGUAGCUAGCUUUGACACUUCGUGUCGUCAUAACAUGUACUGUAGUCAACAAAAUGAAUCCGCAAAAGCAGUCGCAUUUUAACAAGCGAGCGAUUCACGCGUAGCCUAAUGCUUUUUACUUGAUUGAAUUAAACAGACUCCAUCCCCACACGCGAUCUCUCCAACAUUAAAUAUGAUUAAACAAUUCUCUAGUUCUAAAAAUAAUUCUAUUUCUGACUUUGAAACAAUUUUUUGAUUUAAAAAGGAUGACGACGAUCGAUUCCCCGCAAGAGCGCCACGAUUCUAUAAAAGUAGAGAGAAAGAAGUGUCAUAGAAACUUGGGAUAGCAGCCGUUCCCACUCUACUCUUUUCUUCUUUUAAAAUACAGCGCUUCUAUUAGGAGACUAUAUAUAACUCCAGCACGAGCCUGUCGAAAACUAACCCCAUAUUUACGAACAGCGCGGGCAAGAACUCUUACGAACAAUACGCAUUUGUAGCAAUUCAAGUAGAAGAUGGAGUGGAGUGCGUUUCGCGAUCGAACCUCAAUCACUCUUACUUCAACAGGGCUCCAAAGUAUCGGAUAGCGAUGGUUAGCACACAGGGCCAGACUAUUCCUGGAAGGGAUUAAAACGAGAUAAGGGAGAAAAAUAUAUCUUGACGGUGCCCCCAAGACUCUUUGGCGUUACACAAAAGACUAUUAAUUCCCAUUAGUUGGUCAUUUCUUGUGACCCUACGAUGUGUAGUACUAACGUGAAAUCUGCGGUGCUAAUUCCGUUUCUGAAUAAAAAAUUUCAAAAAGUUACUCAUUCCGAGUUGUUGUUAUUGAUCAAACUGGCGCAGAAAAGCUGUUAACAUGAGUUACACAUUCAUGUGGCCAGCAGAUGUAGCAAAAGGUUGGCAUUAGCAAGUUGUUAGACGAGGUGGUGUGGCAGGUCCCUCUUGGUCAUAAAAAUUUUCUAGUUGAAAUUACUUUAGUGUACAAAGUUUAAGUAUU
rnacentral:misc_RNA from 1 species